AUUAAGUUUUUUGGCAGUACCUGAGUCCACAAAUGGGUUCUGGCAUGAGAUUUCAGUCUGAUCAGAGAGCUGAUUUCCAUCUGGGACAACAGGUGAUAGCAAUUAAGAAACCUGGCAGGAAAGAAACACCAGAGGCUGAGCAACAGAUCACAUCCUGCUCUGAUUUUAAUCAACGGACAGCAGAGGCCAAGGCAGAACACUCAGAAAGGCAUCAAGUCUCAACAAGCCCACUUCCCAAUAAACCUGAGAAGAUAACCAUGAAGGCAUCACUCAAGCUAUUCUUCCAGACUUCCGAAGUCCCCUUCCAGAGCCACAAGAGAUGUUAUUGUUUU